AGCAGUCGCCACGGUAAUACGUAGGGUGCAAGCGUUAAUCGGAAUUACUGGGCGUAAAGCGUGCGCAGGCGGUUUGUUAAGACAGAUGUGAAAUCCCCGGGCUCAACCUGGGAACUGCAUUUGUGACUGGCAAGCUAGAGUAUGGCAGAGGGGGGUGGAAUUCCGCGUGUAGCAGUGAAAUGCGUAGAUAUGCGGAGGAACACCGAUGGCGAAGGCAGCCCCCUGGGCCAAUACCGACGCUCAUGCACGAAAGCGUGGGGAGCAAACAGGAUUAGAUACCCCUGUAGUCCCUGUCUCUUAUAC
rnacentral:rRNA from 1 species